CGGCGGACGGGUGAGUAAUGCUUAGGAAUCUGCCUGUUAGUGGGGGACAACAUCUCGAAAGGGAUGCUAAUACCGCAUACGUCCUACGGGAGAAAGCAGGGGACCUUCGGGCCUUGCGCUAAUAGAUGAGCCUAAGUCGGAUUAGCUAGUUGGUGGGGUAAAGGCCUACCAAGGCGACGAUCUGUAGCGGGUCUGAGAGGAUGAUCCGCCACACUGGGACUGAGACACGGCCCAG
rnacentral:rRNA from 1 species